GACGAACGCUGGCGGCGUGCCUCCUUUUGCAAGUCGAGCGAGAAUCUUAAAACUGAUCCCUUCGGGGUGAUGACUUAAAAGGACAGCGGCGGACGGGUGACUAACGCGGGAGUAACCGGCCCAUAAAAGUGGGAUAAUCCAUGGAAACGUGAACUAAUCCCGCAUAUUGAGCAUUUACCGCAUGAUAAAUGUUUGAAAGAUUUAUCGCUUAUGGAGGGACCCCCCCCGUAAAAUUAGAUAGUGGGGGAGGUAACGGCUCACCAAGUCAACAAUCUGAACCCAACCUGAAAGGUUGAU
rnacentral:rRNA from 1 species